rnacentral:rRNA from 1 species
UACGAAGGGGGCUAGCGUUGUUCGGAAUUACUGGGCGUAAAGGGCGCGUAGGCGCCUUCUAAGUCGAACGUGAAAUCCCUGGGCUCAACCCAGGAACUGCGUCCGAUACUGGAAGGCUUGAAUCCGGGAGAGGGAUGCGGAAUUCCAGGUGUAGCGGUGAAAUGCGUAGAUAUCUGGAGGAACACCGGUGGCGAAGGCGGCAUCCUGGACCGGCAUUGACGCGUGAGGCGCGAAAGCCAGGGGAGCAAAGCGGG